UUUUUUUUUUUUUUUUUUGGCAGAGUCUUGCUCUGUUACCCAGGCUGAUCUCAAGUCUCUGUGACCUCCACCUCCCAAGUUCAAGCAAUUCUCCUGACUCAGCCUCCUGAGUAGCUGGGAUUACAGGCACGAGCCACCAUGCCUGGCUAAUCUGUGUGUUUUUACUAGAGAUGGGGUUUGGCCAUGUUGGCCAGGCUGGUCUCGAACUCCUAGCUUCAAGUGAUCCACCUGCCUUGGCUUCCCAGAGUGCUAGGAUUACAGGCGUGAGCCAUCGCACCUGGCCGCAAUUUCUUCAAAGUCUUCUAUUUCACUCUUCUGAAUCCAACGAAGUUUAGCCAGGGAUAAGGCCAAGCAUCUAAGGCAAUACUUCCUUUAACCUUUACUACCCCAUGCAGAAGGUAGUCUUGUUACCCUCACUUUACAGAUGAGUAACUGAGUCACAGAAGUCUUUGCCUAAGGUCAUAGCCCUGGGACAUGGCAGAGCUGAGACUUAAACCUGGGCCCUGAAAUACUACUUGGAAUCCCAUGCCCAAUGCAGCCUCCUCCUCCACAAACAAGCUGUGUUUCUACUAAUAUGAAAAUCGUUCUUCCAGGAAAAUGGCACACGCUGCCCCAGUGGCAUGAAGGAGGAGCCCAGGCCUAGGGAUAUUGGAGAAAAACUGUCCCCAUAAGGAGGGGAGAAGAUAAUAUUACUUUUAAUAUUGCAGAAGAUGUACACCCCCCUUAUGAUAUUUUUCCUAAUAUCUGGGGGAAGGGGGAAGAGGAUGAUAUCACCCCUAAUACUGCAGUGGGUGUACACCCCUUCUGUGAUAUUGUUUCAAAUAUCCAAGCACGGGGAAGGUGACAUUACUCCCAAUAUCACAGGGAGUGAAAGGAUGAUAUUACUCCUAAUAUCGCAGUGGGGGUUCACCCACCCUAUGAUAUUGUUCCUAAUAUCCGGGAAUGACAGGAUGAUAUUACUCCCAAUAUCAUAGGGGCUGUAUACCCCUCCUGUGAAAUUGUUCCUAAUAUCCAUGGGGGGAGAGGAUGAUAUUACUACCAAUAGUGCAGAGGAUGUACACCCCUGCUGUGAUAUUGUUCCUAAUAUUGAGAGAGGGAGAGGAUGAUAGUACUCUCAAUAUCGCUGAAGGUGUACACCUCCCCUGUGACAUUGUUCCUAAUAUCCAGAGGGAAGAGGAUGAUAUCACUCCCAAUAUCGUAGGAGCUGUACAACCCCCUGUGAUAUUGUUUUAAAAUCCAGGGGGUGAGAAGAUGAUGUUACUCCCAAUAUUGCAGGGGGUGUACACCCCCACUGUGAUAUUGUUCCUAAUAUCCAGGGGGGAGAGGAUGAUUUUGUUCCCAAUAUCACAGGGGGUGUAACCCCUACGGUGAUACUGUUUCUAAUAUCCAGGUGAAUAGGAUGAUAUUACUCCCAGUAUCACGGGAUAUUUACACUCCCACUGUGAUAUUGUUCCUAAUUUCUUCUUUUUUUAAUUGUUCCUAAUUUCAAGGCGGGGAGAGGAUGAUAUUACUCCCACUACUGCAGCAGGAGUACAUCUGCCAUAUAUAUUGCUUCUAAAUCCGGGGGGUGAGAAGAUGAUAUUACUCCCAAUAUUGCACAGGGUGUACACCCCCACCAUGAUAUUGUUCCUAAUAUUUAGUGAGGGAA
ensembl:lncRNA